rnacentral:rRNA from 1 species
UCCGUGUCUAUUGUACCCUGUUGCUUCGGCGGGCCCGCCGCUUGUCGGCCGCCGGGGGGGCGCCUCUGCCCCCCGGGCCCGUGCCCGCCGGAGACCCCAACACGAACACUGUCUGAAAGCGUGCAGUCUGAGUUGAUUGAAUGCAAUCAGUUAAAACUUUCAACAAUGGAUCUCUUGGUUCCGGCAUCGAUGAAGAACGCAGCGAAAUGCGAUAACUAAUGUGAAUUGCAGAAUUCAGUGAAUCAUCGAGUCUUUGAACGCACAUUGCGCCCCCUGGUAUUCCGGGGGGCAUGCCUGUCCGAGCGUCAUUGCUGCCCUCAAGCCCGGCUUGUGUGUUGGGUCGCCGUCCCCCUCUCCGGGGGGACGGGCCCGAAAGGCAGCGGCGGCACCGCGUCCGAUCCUCGAGCGUAUGGGGCUUUGUCACAUGCUCUGUAGGAUUGGCCGGCGCCUGCCGACGUUUUCCAACCAUUCUUUCCAGGUUGACCUCGGAUCAGGUAGGGAUACCCGCUGAACUUAAGCAUA